CACCUGUUCCCAUGCCGAACACAGAAGUUAAGCUUCUUAGCGCCGAUUGUAGUGAAGGGGUUCCCUUUGUGAGAGUAGGACGUCGCCACGC
rnacentral:rRNA from 1 species